CCUACGGGUGGCAGCAGUGAGGAAUAUUGGUCUAUGGGCGAGAGCCUGAACCAGCCAAGUCGCGUGAAGGAUGACUGCCCUAUGGGUUGUAAACUUCUUUUAUCAGGGAAUAAAAGGCGCCACGCGUGGCUUUUUGAGAGUACUCUAUGAAUAAGCAUCGGCUAACUCCGUGCCAGCAGCCGCGGUAAUACGGAGGAUGCGAGCGUUAUCCGGAUUUAUUGGGUUUAAAGGGUGCGCAGGCGGAUUGAUAAGUCAGCGGUGAAAUUUGCGAGCUUAACCCGGGAAAAGCCAUUGAUACUGGUUGUCUUGAGUGUAGGUGAGGUAUGCGGAAUGUGUGGUGUAGCGGUGAAAUGCAUAGAGAUCACGCAGAACUCCGAUUGCGAAGGCAGCUUACC
rnacentral:rRNA from 1 species